UACGUAGGGUGCGAGCGUUAAUCGGAAUUACUGGGCGUAAAGCGUGCGCAGGCGGUUUUUUAAGCCAGGUGUGAAAUCCCCGGGCUCAACCUGGGAAUGGCAUUUGGGACUGCAAGGCUGGAGUGCGGCAGAGGAGACUGGAAUUCCUGGUGUAGCAGUGAAAUGCGUAGAUAUCAGGAGGAACACCGAUGGCGAAGGCAGGUCUCUGGGCUGACACUGACGCUCAUGCACGAAAGCGUGGGGAGCAAACAGG
rnacentral:rRNA from 1 species